CCUACGGGAGGCAGCAGUAGGGAAUCUUCCACAAUGGGCGAAAGCCUGAUGGAGCAACGCCGCGUGGGUGAAGAAGGUCUUCGGAUCGUAAAACCCUGUUGUUAGAGAAGAAAGUGCGUGAGAGUAACUGUUCACGUUUCGACGGUAUCUAACCAGAAAGCCACGGCUCACUACGUGCCAGCAGCCGCGGUAAUACGUAGGUGGCAAGCGUUAUCCGGAUUGAUUGGGCGUAAAGGGAACGCAGGCGGUCUUUUAAGUCUGAUGUGAAAGCCUUCGGCUUAACCGGAGUAGUGCAUUGGAAACUGGGAGACUUGAGUGCAGAAGAGGAGAGUGGAAUGCCAUGUGUAGCGGUGAAAUGCGUAGAUAUAUGGAAGAACACCAGUGGCGAAAGCGGCUCUCUGGUCUGUAACUGACGCUGAGGUUCGAAAGCGUGGGUAGCAAACAGGAUUAGAUACCCGGGUAGUC
rnacentral:rRNA from 1 species